ensembl:snRNA U2 U2 spliceosomal RNA
AUUGCUUCUCAGGCUUGUGGCUAAGAUCAAGUGUUGUAUCUGCCCUUAUUAUAUUAAUUUGAUAUGUCCUCUAUUAAAUAAUAAUAUAUUAAAUAGCUUUUAGAAGCAAGGAGAUGGAAUGAGAGUUUGCUCCACCAAUCCACUCAUCUACUGGCAUUGCAAUACCUCCAGAAAUGGUACACCAUUU